CCCUUAGAUGUUCUGGGCUGCACGCGCGCUACAAUGGCGUUUUCAAAAAGAUUGCUAAUCCGAAAGGACCAGCGGAUCUUCGAAGUGACGUCGUGAUCGGGACAGUUGAUUGCAAUUAUUCGACUCGAACGAGGAAUUCCUUGUAAUCGUGCGUCAUCAGCGCACGCUGAAUACGUCCCUGUUCUUUGUACACACCGCCCGUCGCUCCUACCGAUCGAGCGAUCCAAUGAAUGUUUCGGAGCGGAACUGAGAUGCUAAUGCGUCUCUUUUACGCGAAUUUGUGUGAAUUUGAUCGCUUAGAGGAAGGAGAAGUCGUAACA
rnacentral:rRNA from 1 species